rnacentral:rRNA from 1 species
GCAAGUCGAACGGACAUCAUUAAGUUUACUAGAGAAGUGUUAGUGGCAAACGGGUGAGUAAUGCAUAAGAAACUGUCCUGUAGUAAAGAAUAACGCAUGGAGACAUGUGCUAAUACUGUAUAUUACCGAUUUAUCGGGAAAGGCUUCGGCCGCUACUUGAUGAGCCUACGUCGGAUUAGUUAGUUGGUGGGGUAAAAGCCUACCAAGACUAUGAUGUGUAGCUGGUCUGAGAGGGUGAGC